AAAGCGUGCGCAGGCGGUUUUGUAAGUCUGUCGUGAAAUCCCCGGGCUCAACCUGGGAAUGGCGAUGGAGACUGCAAGGCUAGAAUCUGGCAGAGGGGGGUAGAAUUCCACGUGUAGCAGUGAAAUGCGUAGAUAUGUGGAGGAACACCGAUGGCGAAGGCAGCCCCCUGGGCUAAGAUUGACGCUCAUGCACGAAAGCGUGGGGAGCAAACAGGAUUAGAUACCCGUGU
rnacentral:rRNA from 1 species